rnacentral:rRNA from 1 species
UACGUAGGCAGCGAGCGUUGUUCGGAAUUACUGGGCGUAAAGAGUGUGUAGGCGGUGCUCUAAGUUCGGUGUGAAAUCUCCCGGCUUAACUGGGAGGGUGCGCCGGAAACUGGAGUGCUCGAGCGUGGGAGAGGAAAGCGGAAUUCCUGGUGUAGCGGUGUAAUGCGUAGAUAUCAGGAGGAACACCUGCGGUGUAGACGGCUUUCUGGACCAUUGCUGACGCUGAGACACGAAAGCGUGGGUAGCAAACAGG